rnacentral:sRNA from 1 species
GCCAGGUGCAGUGGCGCACACCUGUAAUCCCAGCUACUAGGAGGCGGAGGCAGAAGGAUCCUGAGUUCCAGGCCAGCCUCAGCAACUUAGCAAGACCCUGUCUCCA